rnacentral:misc_RNA from 1 species
AGAUGUUUAUUCUUUUGGGGUGGUGCUAUUGCAGCUGAUCACUGGACUCAAGACUACAGACAAGAUUCUCGGAGGGAAAAGUCUUGUGGGAUGGGCAAGGCCACUAUUAAAAGAGAGGAACUACCCAGAUCUAAUCGACCCUCGGAUCUUGGACUGCCAUGAUGUGCAUCAACUCUUUUGGAUGGUUCGUGUGGCAGAAAAAUGUCUCAGCAAGGAUCCUCGCAAGAGAUUACCUAUGGACAAGGUGGUACAUGCCUUAAAUCAUAUAAUAGAAAGAGACACAGCAUGUGGAAUCGGAGGGUACUCACCAGCACAAUCAAAUUCCAUAACUAGCACUCCAGAUUCAUAUAAUUCACAAGAUGAUGAUUCCAGUUUUACUGUCGAAACUGGAUCAAAAAGUAGCAUGAGUCAGACGAUUGUAAGGCCGCCACCAUCAUCUCCAUUAAGAUUUUCACCCUCCCCUCCAAUGCUAUGCAGUAGCCAUUUCUAUAAAAGGAUCAGUGACAUCCAGGAUUCAUGAAUGAUCAACUUCAGGCAGUGGACUAGAAGGCCAAAGGUGGAUGGAAAUUCACAGGAUAAGGUGCAGUGCUUCAUGGCGAGAUUGUCAUUUAGAUAUGAUGCCCCCUUAACUUCAUAUGAUGAUUAACGCAGGUUAAUUAUCUUGUUCUUAUUCCUAGACUUUGGAAUAUUUCAUGGUAGCUAAAGUUUUAAGCUCUAUAAUUAUGCU